rnacentral:lncRNA from 1 species
CACGAAUCUCCCUUCUCCUUCUUCCCCGCCCCGUUGCCCUAGCAACGUCCCCUCUUCCACCCCACCCUCACCACCUGUCCCCCCCUAUCUCUCCCAGGACAUCGAAUCCUCGAGUGGGACUUGUGGGAAGAUGAAGCCCCUGGCCUUUCAUUCACUAAGCUCUUGGCGCCCGCUCCUUACCAUCCUUCUUCAUCCCUUCAUAUUGAUAACUCCUCCUCCAGCCCUCUGAGCUCUCCAUAUCCACAGACUUCCGAGUUGGUUACUUAUUACCAAUGCUUACUUAUUACCAAAACCAGCCCAUUUUACUACUGAGGAAACAGAGCCUAGAGAGGCAUUCCAGAAGGGUGUCAAAAUGUCUCCUACAUUGUCAAAUGAUGGCAGGUGGUUUGAAGAUGGGAUUGACUUUUUUUUUGCCUACUUUUAAAUUUAAUCAACCAAAAGCUUAGACACCCCUAAUUAACAUUAAGUAGGGGAGGUUCACAAAGGACUUACUAAAGUGAAUAACACCUCCAGAAGCCACUGACUGUCCUCUGGGCUGUACUAAGCAAAUUUAAAGACUGGAAUUGGUCCCCAUAAAGUGGAGGAAGGGACAUGAAAUGACUUAAAAAAGGACUAUAAAAGAUGAUGAACUUCUUGUCCAAGAGGUCUUCAGCCUGAAUCUGGGGCAUGGAGGAGCUUGGACCUGGGACUCUAGCACUUGGAUUGCUUCUGAUAAGACUGCUCCUGGAUCCUCUCCUUUGGACCUUCGCCUGAGUGAGUUAAAAGCUGACCUUCCUUUCCUGGCUUCUGGAGAAUUAGUUCCAGAGAGGGCUCCCCUUCUUGGAGGAGGCUGCAUAGGUUGAACCCUUGCCCAAUUCAAUACCAAGUACUCCAGCUGAGGGGUUAACAAACCCUAAGUGGGUUGAGCCAGGGACCUGAGCAACAUUUAGGCUGAUAAGCUAGACUACUUGCUCUACCCUCUCUUUCAUUUCUCUACUUUCACUCUCACCACCUUUUUUGCAAAUAAAAGCUACUAAGCCAUUUUGACUUGAGCUUUA